UACGAAGGGGGCUAGCGUUGCUCGGAAUUACUGGGCGUAAAGCGCACGUAGGCGCUUCUUAAGUCGGUGGUGAAAUCCUGGAGCUCAACUCCAGAACUGCCUUCGAUACUGGGAGCUCGAGUCCGGGAGAGGUGAGUGGAACUGCGAGUGUAGAGGUGAAAUUCGUAGAUAUUCGCAAGAACACCAGUGGCGAAGGCGGCUCACUGGCCCGAUACUGACGCUGAGGCACGGAAAGCGUGGG
rnacentral:rRNA from 1 species